GUAUUUUAUUUUAUGUUAUUUUAUGUUAUUUUAUUUCAUUUCAUUUCAACACAGCUGGACAAUCAUCCAAAAGAUCUCUCUCACUUUUGUUCUCCAAAUGUUCCUAAACUCAGCAGCCAAAACCUGAAUCAACCACUUCUUCUCCACAUCCUCACUAUUUGUCUUCAUCUACCCGCUUCAUAUACCCCUGGAGGUUUCUGUAAGGUGUCCAAAUGAUUUUCACAGACCAUGUCCUGCCUGUCUCUUUUCUCAGAUUCACAUUCAAACCACUAAAAAUAGAGGGUCCUUCAGCAAAGACGUCAUACGGGUUUGGAACGACAUGAGGCUUCUUCCAUCAGCGAGCAGCUUGUAUCCAGUGGGACAGGAACAGUGGUACGAUCCUGGGACGUUUACACAGGCGUGGCCACACAGAGGCCCUCCACGUGCCCUCGAGUCGACGACUAUGACGCCAGCAACUCCAGAUGCCUGAAUGACAUCACACACUCCUGCUCAUGGAAUCAGUAAGUCAGAAUAAACAUGUACAUUUAAUAAAGAAGAAAGAACCAGUCACACAGUCCGUUGAUGUAA